rnacentral:rRNA from 1 species
UACAGAGGUGGCAAGCGUUGUUCGGAAUUACUGGGCGUAAAGGGCGCGUAGGCGGCCAUCUAAGUCAGACGUGAAAUCCCCCGGCUUAACCUGGGAACUGCGUCUGAUACUGGACGGCUAGAGUAUGGGAGAGGGAUGUAGAAUUCCAGGUGUAGCGGUGAAAUGCGUAGAUAUCUGGAGGAAUACCGGUGGCGAAGGCGGCAUCCUGGACCAUUACUGACGCUGAGGCGCGAAAGCUAGGGGAGCAAACGGG